rnacentral:rRNA from 1 species
GAUGAACGCUGGCGGCGCGCCUAACACAUGCAAGUCGAACGGCACCCCUCCUCGGAGGGAAGCGAGUGGCGAACGGCUGAGUAACACGUGGAGAACCUGCCCCCUCCCCCGGGAUAGCCGCCCGAAAGGACGGGUAAUACCGGAUACCCCGGGGUGCCGCAUGGCACCCCGGCUAAAGCCCCGACGGGGGGGGAUGGCUCCGCGGCCCAUCAGGUAGACGGCGGGGUGACGGCCCACCGUGCCGACAACGGGUAGCCGGGUUGAGAGACCGACCGGCCAGAUUGGGACGGAGACACGACCCGGACACCUACGGGAGGGGGCGGUGGGGAAUCUUACGCAAUGGGGGGAAGUCUGACGGAGCGACGGCGCGUGCGGGACGGAGGCCUUCGGGGCGUAAACCGCUUUCAGCAGGGAAGAGUCAAGACUGUACCUGCAGAAGAAGCCCCGGCUAACUACGUG